rnacentral:misc_RNA from 1 species
AACGCACAUUGCACUCUCUGGUAUUCCGGAGAGUAUGCUUGUUUGAGUAUCUGUAAACAUCUCAAAUCUCUCGACUUUCGAGUCUGAGAGAAUUGGACUUGAGCAAUCCCAACUCCUUCGUCAGAAAGAGGAGGGUUGCUUGAAAUGCAGGUGCAGCUGGACAUUCUUCUGAGCUAAAAGCAUAUUUAUUUAGUCCCGUCAAACGGAUUAUUAUUCUUGCUUCAGCUUACAUAAAGGUUGAAUGACUACCAAGGCUGAUUGCAGGUAAACUCGUUCCGUAAAAAAGAACUUGUGAACUCGAUCUCAAAUCAAGUAAGACUACCCGCUGAACUUAA